GGUUAUUCCAGAGAAAAAAAAGAUGGUGAAAGGAUAUUAUUAUCUGAUAGAAAGCUCAGUAUAAGGUGGAGCUUCAGGAGCCAGGAGAAGCCCAGAGUGAGGUGGAGCUCUAGGUGGAGGUGGAUCGGGCACGAGACGUGAGACUCGGGAGGAUGAGAGAUGAUAUCACAGGGUGAGAUUCUUAUUACCACAGAAUGAUAUCUUGAGUAGGUCUC
rnacentral:lncRNA from 1 species